rnacentral:rRNA from 1 species
GGGGGAAAAAUUAAUAAUUUAUAAAUAAUAAAAAAAUUUUUAAUACUAGAAUGGGGGUUAUAGUAUUAUAAAUAAAAAAAAUUAUAAAUUUUAUAGUAAAUUAGUAUUGUAAAAGAAUUUUGAAAUAAAUGAAAAUUAAAUUUUUUGAAAGUAAAUUUAAUUUAUUGUAUCUUGUGUAUCAGAGUUUAUUAAAUAAAUUUAUUAAUAUAAAUAAAUCUCGAAUUUAAAGGAGAUAAUUAAUUAAAAAAUUUAAUGUUGAAUAAUUAUUUUAAAUAAUUAAUUUGAAAUGAAAAGUUAAUCGUUUUUAAAUAUAUCUAGUUUUUUUAGAAAUAAAUUUAAUUUAAAAUUUAAUUUAAUUAAUAAUUUUUUAAAAAUUAUUAAUAAAUUAAAUUAAAUAUUUUAAGGGAUAAGCUUUAAAUUAAAAAUUUAUAUUAAUAAAAAAAAUUAUUAAAAUUUUUAAAAUUUAAAUUGUUUAAAAAUUAUAAUUUUUUAUAAAAAAUUUUAAUAAAAAUAAAAUUUAAAUUAAAAUUAAUUUUUUAUAAAAAAAAAAUUUUUAAUAAUAUAAAAUUGGAAAUAAUGAUAAAAUUAGUAUAAAUAUAAAUAAAAAAAAAAAAUAAAAUUAUAAUUAAUUAAAAGGAAUUCGGCAAAUAUAUAUAUUCACUUGUUUAUCAAAAACAUGUCUUUUUGUUAAUAAUUUAAAGUCUAAUCUGCCCACUGAUGUAAAAAUUGAAGGGCUGCAGUAUAUUGACUGUACAAAGGUAGCAUAAUCAUUAGUCUUUUAAUUGAAGACUUGUAUGAACGAUUUGAUGAAAUAUAAACUGUCUCUUAAUUAAAAAUUGAAUUUAAUUUUUUAGUUAAAAAGCUAAAAUAGUUUUAAAAGACGAGAAGACCCUAUAGAGUUUUAUAAAUAAUUUAUUUAAUAUUUUAUAUAAAAAUUAUAUUAAAAAAUAAAUUAUUUAUUAUAUUGGGGUGAUAAAAAAAUUUAAAAAACUUUUUGUAUAUAAAAUCAUAAAUAAGUGAAAAUAUGAUCCAUAAUUAAUGAUUAAAAGAAAAAAUUACCUUAGGGAUAACAGCGUAAUUUUUUUUUUUAGUUCAAAUAAGAAAAAGAGAUUGCGACCUCGAUGUUGGAUUAAGAUAAAAUUUAAAUGCAAAAGUUUAAAAUUUUGAUCUGUUCGAUCAUUAAAAUCUUACAUGAUCUGAGUUCAAACCGGUGUAAGCCAGGUUGGUUUCUAUCUUUAAAUAAUUAAAAUAUUUUAGUACGAAAGGAUCAAAUAUUUAAAAUAAUUUUAAUAUAAGAAUUUUAUUAAUAUAAUUAUAA